GACGGGGGAUGCAAGUGUUAUCCGGAAUCACUGGGCGUAAAGCGUCUGUAGGUGGUUUAAUAAGUCAACUGUUAAAUCUUGAGGCUCAACCUCGAAAUCGCAGUCGAAACUAUUAGACUAGAGUAUAGUAGGGGUAAAGGGAAUUUCCAGUGGAGCGGUGAAAUGCGUAGAUAUUGGAAAGAACACCGAUGGCGAAGGCACUUUACUGGGCUAUUACUAACACUGAGAGCCGAAAGCUAGGGUAGCAAAUGGG
rnacentral:rRNA from 1 species